GAACUGUGAUGAGUCCCAUUAUCCCGAAUCUGAUCCCACGUUGAUGAGCCAAACUAUGGAUCUGACUGCUGAGUU